rnacentral:tRNA from 1 species
GGGCGGUUAGCUCAGUGGGAGAGCGCUACCUUGACACGGUAGAGGUCACUGGUUCAAUCCCAGUAUCGCCCA